UCGUUUGUUGUGGAAGUGUUUCGCGAAUUCGGUAGUUUUAUUAGUUUUUGGCAAAUAGUAAUGUGCAUUUUACAAGUGAAUAUCAAUAGACAGCAAAGAACAGGAGAAAUUGCAAUACAAAUGACAAAUAUUAAUAAAAUUAUAAAACAAAACCUUUGAUUGUUGUGUUCGUGUUUUCUUUUUUACUUUUCUUUGGCUCUUUCCAAUGGAGGGAGAGAGAUAAUUGUUUUUCAAUUGUUCUCCCACUCAUAGUGCAAAACCAUGACAUCGUGGUUCGCUGUUGCAGCUAGAUCUUUGUUUUUGUUUUGAUGACAAGGAGCUUCGUUAGGGAUGCCAAUUCAGGAAGAUCAUUUAAACUAAAUUAUGGCUACAACUCAAUUUGGAUAAUUAAGGUGGAGUGUGGUGCAGUCAUAAAUCCCCAAAAAACAUGAGCUAUGGCUGUAAAUCUGCGGUAUCACCUAUCUGCAAAAUGAAAGUGGUAAAGUGAAUGACUUCACGGUUCGUCUUAAUGACGGAGAUAUCAUUUGCAACUGAUACCAGGAAAAUGACGCUUAUUGGAAAAUUUCGAUCUUGGCCACUCUGAAAUGAAAUUUUCUAAAUUUCUCCAUACAACAAACCUAGAAAUGAAACAUUAAGGAUCCAUGGAAAUCAAGAUAUACACAACUGAUUGGGA